rnacentral:lncRNA from 1 species
CCAUGUGGCAGGGGGUUCUUCUCUUUUCCCAACAAGGCUGAGAGCCAAGAAAGGACCUCAGAGCCCUGGAGCUGAGAGAAAGUUGAUUUGUCCCAGUUUUCACUUUAUCGUCAUUAGAUUUAGGGCCCACCUGGGUAGUUCAGGAUGAUCUCAUCUCAACAUCCUUAAUUACCUCUGCAAAGACCGUUUAUACAAAUCAGGCCAUAUUUACACGUUCUGGGGGUAAGGACAUGGACGUAUCUUUUUGGGAGCCACCAUUUAACCUACUGCAUCCACUAAUCCUGCAAAAUAUCACAUUGGAUUAUGACUAAAAAGUCAGGAUAAGUCAGUGAUGACUGGGGUGGGUGAGGGGCUCACUCCUCUCCAUGGUAACAUCACUGCUUCUUUGCUUAGUCUCAAGGAAGGGUCAUGAUCCACCACCUUCAAAGAAAAAUCUAGCUCUUCAUUCUUUAUUCAUUGGCAGGGAGUGAAAACAAGUUCUUUCCGCUUAGUAAGAAACAUUGCAUCCAAUGGGGGACUCAAGUCUGUGCUGAGUCCCAGGGCUUCCUGUUCUUAGUUGGAUAUGUUGGGAUUUCAAAACCCAUUGUGCCCCUUAGGCUUAUGAGUGCAAAAACUCACAUGUGAUGAGCCCCCUUCUGGCAAAGCCCCACCAGAAACAUCAUUCUCUCAGUGCUGAAACCCUUCACCUUCUCCUCUUCUUGCCAACCUCCGGAGGCCCCACACUCACUGAAAAGGGGGCACAACUCUCUUUUCUCAAAGGCCUCCUCUAGCCUUGCUCUCUGACCCCUGUUGUCUAUUUCCUCCUUCAGCCCCUUAUUCAACCAUAGAGAUCCAUGUCUCAUAGGAAAGACAUUGCCCAGGGGUUCCCAGUCCCCUGCUGGGAAGGCCUUUCCUCCAAAAUUGCUGACAGUUAAGCUACCAGACUGCAAGGGAAGACAGAUUAUAAUACAAUGCAUUUUUUGUUUCUUCCAAUCAAGUAAUACUUCUAUAUAAAUUUAGUAUACGUCUCAGCUCCUUCCAGGUGGUUUUAAGAAAAAAGCCAGUGUUAUGCCCUUUCCCUCUGAUGAGUCUAAUUGCAUGGGGCUCUGGUGGUGGCCCUGCUUUGCCCUUCAAGAGCAUCUAUGAAUAACUUUGUGUUUGUAGGUUUCUUUUUAAAGGUGUUCCUCCUAUUUCUGGCUCACAGAUGUUGACAAGUAGCAUGUGUAGAGUUCAGUCUGCACAAAUCUGGGAGCUCUGAACACUAGAUCCUAUAUUCACAGAGUCCCCCACCACUGGAACCUGGCUAGGGGUAGGAAAGUCACUGUAACCCUACAGUCCUGUGGAAAGGGUAGAGUAGUGGGGACUAACUGGAAAGAAGUGAAAAGAAGACAAAGUAGCCAGUGGAAUCUCCAGUCUGCCCCUUGCUUAGCUAUGGAGAGCACAGCAAGAUGAUGGGUGAAGUCCACUGCUUCUCUGAACCAUCUUUCAACUUGUCUGCUGAGGGUCCACUUUCUCUCCUUUCUCUGCCUGCAUGUUUGUGCAAAAUUUGUGUCUUCACGUGGAGACUAUGACUUUUGUGUGCAUGGAACAGAGCCCUCUAGAAGGGUCUUGUGCCACUUUAAAAUGUGACUCCCAAAAAAUCUGACCUGUGCUCAUACAUUGCUGAUGGAAAUACAAAAUGAUUCAGCCAUGUGGAGAAUAGUAUUGCAGUUCUUCAAAAAGUUAAACAUAGAAUCACCAUAUGACUAGUAAAUCCACUCCUAGGUACACACCUUAAAAAAUUGAAAAUAGGUAUUCAAAUAAAUACAUGUGUAUGCAAGUUCAUAGCAGCACAAUAUUCACAAUAGUUGAAGGGUGGAACCAGCCCAAAUGACCACUGAUGGAUGAAUGAAUGAACAAAAUGCAGUAUAUCCUGACAAUGGAAUAUUAUUCAGCCAUAAAAAGAAUGAAGUACUGAUGCAC